rnacentral:lncRNA from 1 species
CACUACUCCACCUCCGGUCACCUCAUCCCCACCCCCAGCAGCCACCACACCUCCCCCAGUUGCCGCCUCACCACCUCCAGUGACCGCAUCUCCACCACCUGCCACUCCUCCUCCAGUGAGCGCACCUCCGCCCGCCACUCCACCUCCGGCAACCCCACCACCAGUCAGCGCUCCCCCACCGGCCACUCCACCACCCGCAACUCCUCCCCCGGCUACUCCACCACCCGCCACUCCACCCCCGGCAACUCCACCACCAGCAACUCCACCUCCGGCCACUCCACCACCAGCUCCUCUUGCAUCGCCGCCAGCUUCAGUUCCAGCUCCAUCUCCCACGGUGAAGUCUCCGGCUUUGGCUCCAUCUCCUCUAGCUCUUUCCCCAGGUCCACCAGCGCCUCCUGUCGGAGCGCCUGGUCCC